rnacentral:SRP_RNA from 1 species
GGCCAGGCCCUAUGCAAUGUCGGGCGAGUGAACUCCGCCAGGACCGGAAGGUAGCAACGGCAACUACGUUUCACAUGUGCCGUAGGUAGUCUGGCCACU